rnacentral:rRNA from 1 species
AGAGAACUUGAACACAGGUGCUGCAUGGCCGUCGUCAGCUCGUGUCGUGAGAUGUUGGGUUAAGUCCCGCAACGAGCGCAACCCUUGUCAUUAGUUGCUACGAAAGGGCACUCUAAUGAGACUGCCGGUGACAAACCGGAGGAAGGUGGGGAUGACGUCAGGUCCUCAUGGCCCUUAUGGGUAGGGCUACACACGUCAUACAAUGGCCGGUACAGAGGGCUGCCAACCCGCGAGGGGGAGCCAAUCCCAGAAAACCGGUCGUAGUCCGGAUCGCAGUCUGCAACUCGACUGCGUGAAGUCGGAAUCGCUAGUAAUCGCGGAUCAGCUUGCCGCGGUGAAUACGUUCCCGGGUCUUGUACACACCGCCCGUCACACCAUGGGAGCGGGUUCUGCCAGAAGUAGUUAGCCUAACCGCAAGGAGGGCGAUUACCACGGCAGGGUUCGUGACUGGGGUGAAGUCGUAACAAGGUAGCCGUA